UCAGGAUGAACGCUGGCGGCGUGCCUAAUACAUGCAAGUCGAACGAGUUCUCGUUGAUGAUCGGUGCUUGCACCGAGAUUCAACAUGGAACGAGUGGCGGACGGGUGAGUAACACGUGGGUAACCUGCCCUUAAGUGGGGGAUAACAUUUGGAAACAGAUGCUAAUACCGCAUAGAUCCAAGAACCGCAUGGUUCUUGGCUGAAAGAUGGCGUAAGCUAUCGCUUUUGGAUGGACCCGCGGCGUAUUAGCUAGUUGGUGAGGUAAUGGCUCACCAAGGCGAUGAUACGUAGCCGAACUGAGAGGUUGAUCGGCCACAUUGGGACUGAGACACGGCCCAAACUCCUACGGGAGGCAGCAGUAGGGAAUCUUCCACAAUGGACGCAAGUCUGAUGGAGCAACGCCGCGUGAGUGAAGAAGGCUUUCGGGUCGUAAAACUCUGUUGUUGGAGAAGAAUGGUCGGCAGAGUAACUGUUGYCGGCGUGACGGUAUCCAACCAGAAAGCCACGGCUAACUACGUGCCAGCAGCCGCGGUAAUACGUAGGUGGCAAGCGUUAUCCGGAUUUAUUGGGCGUAAAGCGAGCGCAGGCGGUUUUUUAAGUCUGAUGUGAAAGCCCUCGGCUUAACCGAGGAAGCGCAUCGGAAACUGGGAAACUUGAGUGCAGAAGAGGACAGUGGAACUCCAUGUGUAGCGGUGAAAUGCGUAGAUAUAUGGAAGAACACCAGUGGCGAAGGCGGCUGUCUGGUC
rnacentral:rRNA from 2 species